rnacentral:rRNA from 1 species
GAUGAACGCUGGCGGCGUGCCUAAUACAUGCAAGUCGAGCGAACGGACGAGAAGCUUGCUUCUCUGAUGUUAGCGGCGGACGGGUGAGUAACACGUGGAUAACCUACCUAUAAGACUGGGAUAACUUCGGGAAACCGGAGCUAAUACCGGAUAAUAUUUUGAACCGCAUGGUUCAAAAGUGAAAGACGGUCUUGCUGUCACUUAUAGAUGGAUCCGCGCUGCAUUAGCUAGUUGGUAAGGUAACGGCUUACCAAGGCAACGAUGCAUAGCCGACCUGAGAGGGUGAUCGGCCACACUGUAACUGAGACACGUUCCAGACUCCUACGGGAGGCAGCAGUAGGGAAUCUUCCGCAAUGGGCGAAAGCCUGACGGAGCAACGCCGCGUGAGUGAUGAAGGUCUUCGGAUCGUAAAACUCUGUUAUUAGGGAAGAACAUAUGUUUAAGUAACUGUGCACAUCUUGACGGUACCUAAUCAGAAAGCCACGGCUAACUACGUG